GAACGAACGUUGGCGGCGUGGAUUAGGCAUGCAAGUCGAGCGAGGACUAUCGGUGUAGCAAUACACCGGUAGAGCCGAGCGGCGUAAGGGGCAGUAAGGCGUGGGUAACGUACCCCCUGGAUCGGGAUAGCCGCGGGAAACCGCGGGUAAUACCGGGCGAAACAACGGUGGCGCAUGUCGCUGUUGUCAAACGUGUGAAUCGGCCGGGGGAGCGGCUCACGUGGUAUUAGCUAGUUGGUGGGGUGACGGCCCACCAAGGCGAAGAUGCCUAGCGGGUGUGCGAGCACGACCCGCGCCACUGGCACUGAGACACUGGCCAGACACCUACGGGUGGCUGCAGUCGAGGAUCUUCGGCAAUGGGCGCAAGCCUGACCGAGCGACGCCGCGUGCGGGAUGAAGGCCUUCGGGUUGUAAACCGCUGUCAGGGGGGAUGAAGGGCUGGAGGGAACUCCCUGCAGUCAUGCAUGACACAUCCCCAGAGGAAGCACGGGCUAAGUUCGUGCCAGCAGCCGCGGUAAGACGAACCGUGCGAACGUUGUUCGGAAUCACUGGGCUUAAAGGGCGCGUAGGCGGCCUCGCCAGUCCGGGGUGAAAUCCAUCGGCUCAACCGGUGGACGGCCUGGGAUACUGCGAGGCUCGAGGGGGGUAGGGGCGACGGGAACGGCCAGUGGAGCGGUGAAAUGCGUUGAGAUUGGCAGGAACGCCGGUGGCGAAAGCGCGUCGCUGGGCCCCUCCUGACGCUGAGGCGCGAAAGCCAGGGGAGCAAACGGGAUUAGAUACCCCGGUAGUCCUGGCCCUAAACGAUGGGUUCUGGGUAGGGGACUGACAUGGGUUCCCUGCCGCAGCGUUAGUGCUAAGUACCCCGCCUGGGGAGUAUGGUCGCAAGGCUGAAACUCAAAGGAAUUGACGGGGGCUCACACAAGCGGUGGAGCAUGUGGCUUAAUUCGAGGCUACGCGAAGAACCUUAUCCUGGGCUUGACAUGUGCGAAAGCGGUGGGAAGUAGGGGACGGAAACGCACCCCCAACGGUAUCCAGUCCGGAACCCACUACAGGUGCUGCAUGGCUGUCGUCAGCUCGUGUCGUGAGAUGUCGGGUUAAGUCCCAUAACGAGCGAAACCCUUGCCCCCAGUUGCCAGCGGGUUAUGCCGGGGACUCUGGGGGGACCGCCGGUGUCAAACCGGAGGAAGGCGGGGAUGACGUCAAGUCCUCAUGGCCUCUAUGCCCAGGGCUGCACACGUGCUACAAUGCGGCGUACAGAGGGACGCCAACGCGCAAGCGGGAGCAAACCCCUACAAAACGCCGCUCAGUUCAGAUCGCGGGCUGCAACUCGCCCGCGUGAAGCUGGAAUCGCUAGUAAUCGCGGAUCAGCAACGCCGCGGUGAAUGUGUUCCUGAGCCU
rnacentral:rRNA from 1 species